rnacentral:tRNA from 1 species
GCCAAAGUGGUGGAAUUGGUAGACACGAUGGAUUCAAAAUCCAUUGCCCCUAAAGGCGUGAGGGUUCGAGUCCCUCCUUUGGUA